GAUGAACGCUGGCGGCGUGCCUAAUACAUGCAAGUCGAGCGAACGGGCGAGAAGCCUGCUUUUCUGAUGUUAGCGGCGGACGGGUGAGUAACACGUGGAUAACCUACCUAUAAGACUGGGAUAACUUCGGGAAACCGGAGCUAAUACCGGAUAAUAUUUUGAACCGCAUGGUUCAAAAGUGAAAGACGGUCUUGCUGUCACUUAUAGAUGGAUCCGCGCUGCAUUAGCUAGUUGGUAAGGUAACGGCUUACCAAGGCAACGAUGCAUAGCCGACCUGAGAGGGUGAUCGGCCACACUGGAACUGAGACACGGUCCAGACUCCUACGGGAGGCAGCAGUAGGGAAUCUUCCGCAAUGGGCGAAGGCCUGACGGAGCAACGCCGCGUGAGUGAUGAAGGUCUUCGGAUCGUAAAACUCUGUUAUUAGGGAAGAACAUAUGUGUAAGUAACUGUGCACAUCUUGACGGUACCUAAUCAGAAAGCCACGGCUAACUACGUG
rnacentral:rRNA from 1 species